UCCCUGGUAGCUCAGUUGGUAAAGAAUCUGCCUGCAAUGCAGGAGACCCAGGUUCAAUCCCUGGGUGGGGAA
rnacentral:tRNA from 1 species